ACGAACAAACCAUCUCGUCCCCAAGACAGAUGUGUUCCCAGCGUAUUGCACCCCCGGGUGGUUCCAAUACCUCUGCGUGUUUACUCCAGAGAGAAGGAGAACCUACUUCUUUGAUCUGCACAAAAAAAGAAGGGUGAGAGAGGGGUAGAGAGGAGUGAUAGAACAAGUGCACCCACCAAGAGGAAGAAAGAAGAAGACUCUCUCGAUUUUCCAAUUCCUUUACUUGCUAGCUAUUUACCACAAUCAAUCUUUUAUAGGCGUUCAUGGAGAUUCAAAAUCGUAUGAUCGAGCUCACCGCCAAACUGAAGCAGGUUUUCUUUUUACCCACUUUUCAUAGUCCAAUGGCUGCUAACAACGUUCCACUGUUCCAGUGGGUUUGGAUAAGGAACAGAUUUUCGGCAUGGCAGAGAAGGAGAUGGAAUAGUGGAAUACAGGAUUGAGUUGUUCAACAAAUAAGUUUUCUGCAUUGUAUUUUUAGUUGAUGUCACAAACGAGUAAUUUGCAGGGUAGUAUUUGAAUCCAAUUUCUUUUCUAUCUCAGCUCCAAUAGUUUGAGCAAUUAGUUUGGGUGCUUUCUUUGCCACGCACAUUGUCUUCCAUUCAUUCAUUUAUUUUGGCUUUUCACACUUGCUUCCUUCUAUUUCCAUUAGCUCUCAAACUUUUAUUUGAUCAGACAACGCGGUUCAAUAAUACUUUCUGCACCUACACUUCUAGUUGGUGCCAAUAAUCUCUCCAAUUUUGUUAUUCGCCGUGCAUGCAUCAAUUGGCUCUUCUUUGCCUAUUUGGAUUUUCAUCAAUGCUCCAUUCUGGUACUAUGGUUUCCGCUCUUGACUCAACGAACCAAAAGCAAGUUUGUUGUGGUACUUGAGACCUUUCUUAAGUAAGUCUUUUCCCUUCAUUAUUAGCCAUCAAAGAUCUGAUUUUGACUCCAUUAUAAACUUGACAUUUGAGAAAUGAACGAAAAUUGUGUAUAUUUUUAGGUAAAUUCCAGCUGAGGAGAUACCGAUUAAGUAUGGUGGUUUCAAGAGAGAAAUUGACACCAAGUUCUUCUUCUCUAAAGAUGGUUAUGUUUUUGAGCAACUCAAAGCAAACCAUAGAAAUUGAUGUAGCUCAUGUACUAAUAAUUUUUUUUAUUUGUUUGGAUACCGAAAACUGAGGAGGAUAAUAACAGAAGUUUAUUUGA